rnacentral:rRNA from 1 species
AACGCUAGCUACAGGCUUAACACAUGCAAGUCGCGGGGUAACGAGAGGGAAGCUUGCUUUCCUUGUCGACGACCGGCGCACGGGUGAGUAACGCGUAUCCAACCUGCCCAUUACCACGGGAUACCCCGUCGAAAGGCGGCCUAAUACCGUAUGCAGUCGUCAGAUGACAUCAGAGGACGACGAAAGGAUUGGCGGUAAUGGAUGGGGAUGCGUCUGAUUAGGUAGUUGGAGGGGUAACGGCCCACCAAGCCAUCGAUCAGUAGGGGUUCUGAGAGGAAGGUCCCCCACAUUGGAACUGAGACACGGUCCAAACUCCUACGGGAGGCAGCAGUGAGGAAUAUUGGUCAAUGGACGAGAGUCUGAACCAGCCAAGUAGCGUGCAGGAAGACGGCCCUAUGGGUUGUAAACUGCUUUUAUAAGGGAAUAAAGUGAGAGUCGUGACUCUUUUUGCAUGUACCUUAUGAAUAAGGACCGGCUAAUUCCGUGCCAGCAGCCGCGGUAAUACGGAAGGUCCGGGCGUUAUCCGGAUUUAUUGGGUUUAAAGGGAGCGUAGGCCGGAGAUUAAGCGUGUUGUGAAAUGUAGAUGCUCAACAUCUGAACUGCAGCGCGAACUGGUUUCCUUGAGUACGCACAAAGUGGGCGGAAUUCGUGGUGUAGCGGUGAAAUGCUUAGAUAUCACGAAGAACUCCGAUUG